CGUACGAUCACCGAAGUUAAGCAACGUCGAGCCUGUUCAGUACCUUAAUGGGUGACGGCUUGGAAAUACCAGGUGCUGUAA